CAACAGUUAACUCAGAAAAAAAGCGCAUUUCAAUUGUCAGCCUUCAUAGUCUAACUUUAGGUAAAAAAGUUAGACCUGCAUCAGCUCUUGUUAACGAACAAAAUAUCUUGUCCUACAAAGAAGGAGGCUUCAGUGAUUUCCUUGACUUCAUUUCGGGAGAAGAUAUUGUGGAAGCAAAGUACAUAGACACAUUAAAAAUAAAUACAUGAUGAUUAUAGUACAUGGACAACAGAGCAGGCAAUACUGGAAUUCUCAUUUUUACACUCUUCAAACUCCAUUUUGUAUGAUCCGUGUUUUACAGUAGCCAGAUUUUCUAUGUACUUUGUUCGAAUUUUGCUGGUGAGAUUUUUUUAUUUUUGCUUUUUAUUUUAUUUUGUUGAGAAAAAAAUAAGAGCUCUUCCUUCAUACUAGGAGGCCUUGCUGUAAAAAAAAAAAAUUGAACAAACUUACCAGCCAUUUCAUCUUAACCAAGGUUUCCCUCAAGGCCACUUAUUUUGUUGCACCACCAACAAAAUAAAAAUGCAUCUUCAGGAUCCGAUGAUUUAUCUCACUUAGCUAACAUCACAACUUGGCAGAUAGAAGCCAGCAACUGGAAAGAAGUUCUAACAUUCACCACAUCAAGUCCAAUUUAAGCCAAAUGUUGGUCAUACUACAAGUUUAGAACUCGAGCCACAUUCAUCACUGGUAGACGCACCUAUUGGGAAGAUGUUCUCUCACACAAGGUAAAUUUUUAAUGGUAAAUAGACACAAGAAUUAGUUAUGACCUUAAACUAAUUAGACCAGCAAAGAACAUUAUAUUGAUUUACAGCCACAACCAUAUACAGCCAAAAUCACCUUCCAACAAUACAUUCUGCACAUAUAACACAGGAAUAGCCAGUAUAACAACUGCUCUGACAUUAAUAUUAGUAUCAUUAUUUUGUGUGUGUUCUUUUAGGUUUUCUGUGUCAGAAGUUUCCUUUGUAAGCUAACAGGGAAGCAUGGCUUCAAAACUCAAGUUCCAUGACCCUGGUAAUGCUCACGUUUGAUCUCGCUAAUGUUCAGACACCCAAACUGUUUUACCUCCAAUACUAUUUACUCAUUUCAAACCUUCUCCAAACAAUCUUGUUAUUAUCGCUAGGGAUGGCAAUAGGGCAGGGCAUAUUCGGGGUGGGGCAGGGAGUGUUGUGCGGGACAGGGCAGGGCGGGACAAAAUAUAUUUUCGAAAAAUUAUAAUGAAGGCAGGGAAAGUGGUAGGGCAAGGGGUUUCAGAUGCAAAUUGAAAAUUUCUCAACCUUAUUUCAGUGUCGACAAUGGGAUUGUUGUUGUCAACGUACUAAUGAAAUAUCAAUUGUUGGGUGCUGGCAACGUUUAAAAUAAGAUUUCAUACUAAAGGAAUAUCAAUAACUUCUUUUUUAUUUAAAUAAGAUCAAUAUGGGACAACUGUUUUACUAUUACUUGAAAUCAAAUUAUUUCAAUUACAAAAAUAUUGAAAUAAAAAUAUUGUAAAUUUUCCCUGCUACUAAUUCCAAAAGUAAGCACUCGCAAAAGCCAAAACAACAUAGAAACUAAGUUUGUGUUGUAUCAUUUUAUACUCCCUCCGUUCACUUUUACUUGUCCACUAUUCCUAAGAAUAAAUUUUACUUUUAACAUAUCAAGAAAAGAUAAUUAUUUUUUUCUAUGUUUUACCCUUAGCAUUAAUUACUUAUUUGCCGAAUCAUUUUUCAAGACCUAAUACUAAACAUCAAUUAAUAAGGGUAUUAUAGUAAGAUACUCAUAUAAAUAAUUGUUUCUUAAGGGGUUUGGCGUGUAAAUCCAAAGUGGAGAAGUAAAAGUGAACGGGAGGAGUAUUUGGAAGACCAAAAAGACAAAAAGUAUAUCUCUCUCGCUCAUACUUAAUACAGUAGUGACGCAUUAGUUCGGGUAAUGGAGACAGCAGCAUAGGAGGGGUUUUCAGGAACUCUGAUGGUCAUUGGAUACUAGGCUAUUGUAUGCAUAUUCCCAAUACUACAAUCACUGAAGCUGAACUAAAGGGUCCAGACUAUGCUUAUAUGCAUAUGAAUCUACAUCCACUUCAAGUGGAAAUUGACGCACAAGAGGUGAUCACCUUGCUCUCAUCAUCCAAGGCAAAAUAUGCUAAUAUUUUGUCUGACUGCAGGUCCGUACUCCGACAGUUACAUGAUCCAGUCGUCACUCACAUAUACAGGGAGCAGCACAAGGCAGCAGAUAGUGUAGCUAAAUAUGGAGCAAACAAAACAUUGACUGCUAUGACACUUUUUGAUAGCCCACCUCUUUUUGCUGAAUCAAUGGUUGAAGCAGAUAGACUAGGCAUCACCUUUUGUCGACGUACAACUUUUUGUAACUUACCAACUGAUAGUUUAACUAGUGAGGCAUGUAGUUCAUCUAACCCUACAAUGCCCUGUCCUGUCCUGCCCCGAGCCUCCCUAUUGAUAUUCCUAGUUAUCGCAAACCAAGGAAGGCAAAUGCAUCUCAAUUUCUAUAAUUAAGUUGGUUAUUUUACAUAGAAUUGAUUUCUUAUUGCACUAAAUGGCUGCAAAGUGCAAUCUGUCACCUCUGUUAAUCAGAUAACUUGGGAGACUUACUAUGUUAAUUAUCUCCAUGCAUCAUCAGAAUCAGAAUUAGUAGUAGCAUUCAUUUAAAGACUAUUAAACAAAAUUAUCCCAACUUAUUUCUAAUUCCUUCAGCAAUUGAAGCCAUAUUUUUAGAAAUUCAGCUUAUGGCGCAAUGCUAAGUAUUUAACGACUAUUACACAAAAUCAUCCCAACUUAUUCAGUAACUAUUACAUAAUUUAGUUACUAAACCAAAAUCAGCGACUUGAAGUUACUCGAUUCCUCUCAUGAUGGUCAAAACUUGCGCAAAAUAUAUGAAUAUCAUCAAAUAAAUUGUAGUUUUACAUGAUUCUCACUAUAUCUAAUAAAGACUUUAUUUGCACACAAAAAUUGGAGGAAAAAAUCAACAUAUUCGAGGCAAAAACACUUACGAAGGAAAGUGAAAAAUUGAUUCAGAAAAUUAAACUCUGCAUUUUCUUUUACGUCUCUGAUCUUCUCUGCCCCUACUGCUUUGCUUCUUCUCCAUUGAAGUUUCUGGUUUUCAAUUUUCAUUGGAAGGGGGCUUGGCUUUCAAACGGAUUAAUUUCCUGCUCCGCCGGUUUUACC
rnacentral:lncRNA from 1 species